AGCUGGUCUCCUCGCAAUGUAAUGUCACGAACCCCGCCAGGCCCGGAAGGGAGCAACGGUAGUAACAGAUCAUGUGCCGAGGCCAGAUGGGCUUGG
rnacentral:SRP_RNA from 1 species